AUCGCUUCUCGGCCUUUUGCGCUAAGAUCAACGUGUAGUUAUCAUGUUCUUAUCAGCUUAAUAUCUGAUACCGAUCCCCAUGUUGGAUCUACGAUAGUAAACUGAUUUUUGGAAAAUGGCGGAAGUGCAGGGGCUGUGAGCUCCAUCUUUGCCGCGGAUCGGCCCGGUAUUGCAGUAGUACCUCGGGAUUGGUCCACUCCUC